rnacentral:rRNA from 1 species
AACGAACGUUCGCGGCGCGCCUAACACAUGCAAGUCGAGCGAGAAAGGGCUUCGGCCCCGGUACAGCGGCGCACGGGUGAGUAACACGUAGGCAAUCUGCCCCUGAGUGGGGGAUAACCUUCCGAAAGGAGGGCUAAUACCGCAUGAGACCACGACCCCGCGAGGGGAUGAGGUCAAAGCCGGCCACUUCACGAAAGCUGGCGCUUGGGGAUGAGCCUGCGGCCCAUCAGCUAGUUGGUAGGGUAAUGGCCUACCAAGGCGAAGACGGGUAACUGGUCUGAGAGGAUGAUCAGCCACACUGGAACUGAGACACGGUCCAGACUCCUACGGGAGGCAGCAGUGGGGAAUCUUGCGCAAUGGGCGAAAGCCUGACGCAGCGACGCCGCGUGAGUGAUGAAGGCCUUCGGGUUGUAAAGCUCUGUGGAGGGAGACGAAUAAGGCAUGGCUAACAUCCAUGUUGAUGACGGUAUCCCUUUAGCAAGCACCGGCUAACUCUGUGCCAGCCGCCGCGGUAAGAC